rnacentral:rRNA from 1 species
CCUACGGGAGGCAGCAGUGAGGAAUAUUGGUCAAUGGACGAGAGUCUGAACCAGCCAAAUAGCGUGAAGGAUGACUGCCCUAUGGGUUGUAAACUUCUUUUAUAUGGGAAUAAAAUGUUCCACGUGUGGGAUUUUGUAUGUACCAUAUGAAUAAGGAUCGGCUAACUCCGUGCCAGCAGCCGCGGUAAUACGGAGGAUCCGAGCGUUAUCCGGAUUUAUUGGGUUUAAAGGGAGCGUAGGUGGAUUGUUAAGUCAGUUGUGAAAGUUUGCGGCUCAACCGUAAAAUUGCAGUUGAAACUGGCAGUCUUGAGUACAGUAGAGGUGGGCGGAAUUCGUGGUGUAGCGGUGAAAUGCUUAGAUAUCACGAAGAACUCCGAUUGCGAAGGCAGUUCACUGGACUGCAACUGACACUGAGGCUCGAAAGUGUGGGUAUCAAACAGGAUUAGAUACCCGAGUAGUC